AAGCAGUGAUAUCAACGGAGAGUACUACGUGUUAUAUCUUUCGGAAGAGGCGCUACAUACAAUUAUGAUAGAACUUCACUUACAGGUAAGUUCGUUUAAUCACUUAAUUGGUAUAACAUAUCCUAUAUAUCAUAAUCGAGAAGAAAAACACGCGAGUAUUCUUUGUGUUUAUUUAGGCACUCUUUUAUCAAUAAAAAUAUAUCAAUAAUAUGAACAUCGUUAUAUUGGAUGUUCUGAAUACAUCUAAUAUCGACUUUGAUGAUUUUUAUUAAACCCGUUGAAUAAAAAUAAGGUUAAGGACAUAUUCUAUGAAGAUAUAUUUUAAAAUAUUUUCCAAACUUUACAAGCGACGAAUAAAUCACACUUUAGAAACACUUCGUCAUUCUUUUUUUUAUUUGUUUGAAAUUUGGGAAAGACUUCGACGAAAGUAAACUGAAUAAAACAAGUUGACCACCAAAAGAAAAAAACUCUGAGAUCCUUUGUUACGUAGUGCCAAUAAUAAAUUAUAACGUCCAAAGUUGCGAAGCCAAUAUACGCGCGUUAUUAAUUUGUUACAUAGCGGCAAUAACAUUGCGUAAUCACAAUAGGAAGAAAAUAUUUUAAUAAGACUAUGUGUGACAUAUAGUUUUCGCUUAAAGUCUCAUAAGGAAAGUGACGUAGAGUUUUUAAUAUUGAUCUAGUGCACUUGUUGCAACAGCCUCUAUUUUUAGACAUACAGAAUGAAAUUUACAAAAUGAUGUUUAUUUAUUCCAUAUUAAAUUCCAUAUUAGAUUUUUAAAGAAAUAGAAUUAUUUAUAAGAUUUCUUCUUAAUAAAUAUAUCGAGAAAUAAUUUUUUAAAUUAUAAGCCA